rnacentral:piRNA from 1 species
UGAUUGUAUUGGGAGUAUGUUGUAUUA